rnacentral:rRNA from 1 species
UACGUAGGGUGCAAGCGUUGUCCGGAAUUAUUGGGCGUAAAGAGCUCGUAGGUGGUCUGUUGCGUCGGCUGUGAAACCCCGAGGCUCAACCUCGGGCCUGCAGCCGAUACGGGCAGACUAGAGUUCGGCAGGGGAGACUGGAAUUCCUGGUGUAGCGGUGAAAUGCGCAGAUAUCAGGAGGAACACCGGUGGCGAAGGCGGGGUCUCUGGGCCGAUACUGACACUGAGGAGCGAAAGCGUGGGGAGCGAACAGG